UUUAUAACGAAACAGGGAAUUCAUUUUAAUGGAAUUCCUGAAAGUCAACAGUUUUUUGGAAAAAGCCGUGGACUGGUCGACUGGCCAAAGCCACAAAAAUCGCACAUUGUCUAUGUAAAUUCGCUUUCCACAGCCAUAAUCUUCGACUCGCAUUGGACAACAAUGUCAUUGGCAGGUUUCCCAUCAUUACGGCGCACAGAAAAUGCCAAUUUACAUGAGAGUAUGUAAGCCAGCAAUUAUUUCCACAGAGCCUGCAUCUGGCGAAGAGAUUUAUUCAUUGAAAUAAAGCCAAAGAAAUGCGUCACGUUCGGCCAGUUGGAAAAAGUAACGGCAGUGUGUGACAAUUCAAAAAAAAAAACGCGCCACUUCGGACAAGAUUCAAAAUCUGCUUUGAAAUACAGUCUCACUUCAGUAAACUGAAUUUCUGGUGCGGUAAUCAAAAUGUUUGCUUGGAACAAUUUCAAUUUAAAAGCAUAUUUCAGUCUAGAAGUUUGACUUGGUUAAUUAUUGGAAACAGAGUACUCAUGACAUUCAAUUUUUAUUCCUUGCAAGAUUUUAAAGUUAAGAUUUUAAAGUUUGACAUAAAAUCCAACUGGACGAGUUCGAGCUAUAGAAGUGGGACGGACUGUAAGAGGCAGCCAACCUGUUGCCAUUACUGUUAUGAUUUCGAGCGCGAAACUUGUGCCGCAACUUGGCCAUGUGCACAUGGGUACAAACUCGUACAUUUCUUUCACUUUCUUUCUUUUGGGCACAAAGGCGGUGGCGGCGGCGGCGACGAAUUUAUUUUAAUUCGAUAGAGUUAACAACUCGGUACAUGGCGGAAUAAAAGUGAAAAGCAACCGAA